GACUGAACAUAGCUCUUUUAGAAUUUUUCUAGCAGGAUUUUCGACUUUGUUUGGGAAAAUCCAAG
ensembl:snRNA LOC120098344 U7 small nuclear RNA